rnacentral:tRNA from 1 species
AGCUUAGUUGAAUAGAGCGUCAGAUUCCGGUUCUGAAGGUCGUGGGUUUGAGUCCCACC